AUUGAACGCUGGCGGCAGGCCUAACACAUGCAAGUCGAGCGGAUGAAGGGAGCUUGCUCCUGGAUUCAGCGGCGGACGGGUGAGUAAUGCCUAGGAAUCUGCCUGGUAGUGGGGGAUAACGUCCGGAAACGGGCGCUAAUACCGCAUACGUCCUGUGGGAGAAAGUGGGGGAUCUUCGGACCUCACGCUAUCAGAUGAGCCUAGGUCGGAUUAGCUAGUUGGUGGGGUAAAGGCCUACCAAGGCGACGAUCCGUAACUGGUCUGAGAGGAUGAUCAGUCACACUGGAACUGAGACACGGUCCAGACUCCUACGGGAGGCAGCAGUGGGGAAUAUUGGACAAUGGGCGAAAGCCUGAUCCAGCCAUGCCGCGUGUGUGAAGAAGGUCUUCGGAUUGUAAAGCACUUUAAGUUGGGAGGAAGGGCAGUAAGUUAAUACCUUGCUGUCUUGACGUUACCAACAGAAUAAGCACCGGCUAACUUCGUG
rnacentral:rRNA from 1 species